AACGAACGCCGGCGGCAGGCUUAACACAUGCAAGUCGAACGCAUCCUUCGGGGUGAGUGGCAGACGGGUGAGUAACGCGUGGGAACGUGCCCUUCAGUUCGGAAUAACCCAGGGAAACUUGGGCUAAUACCGGAUACGUGCGAGAGCAGAAAGAUUUAUCGCUGAAGGAUCGGCCCGCGUCUGAUUAGCUAGUUGGUGAGGUAAUGGCUCACCAAGGCGACGAUCAGUAGCUGGUCUGAGAGGAUGAUCAGCCACAUUGGGACUGAGACACGGCCCAAACUCCUACGGGAGGCAGCAGUGGGGAAUAUUGGACAAUGGGCGCAAGCCUGAUCCAGCCAUGCCGCGUGAGUGAUGACGGCCUUAGGGUUGUAAAGCUCUUUCGUCCGGGACGAUAAUGACGGUACCGGAAGAAGAAGCCCCGGCUAACUUCGUGCCAGCCGCCGCAGUAAUAC
rnacentral:rRNA from 1 species